GACGUAGGGUGCGAGCGUUGUCCGGAUUUAUUGGGCGUAAAGAGCUCGUAGGCGGCUCGUCGCGUCGACCGUGAAAACUUGGGGCUUAACCCUAAGCUUGCGGUUGAUACGGGCGGGCUAGAGUUCGGUAGGGGAGACUGGAAUUCCUGGUGUAGCGGUGAAAUGCGCAGAUAUCUGGAGGAACACCGGUGGCGAAGGCGGCAUCCUGGACCGAGAUUGACGCUGAGGCGCGAAAGCCAGGGGAGCAAACGGG
rnacentral:rRNA from 1 species